UGGGUUGUGGCUCACAGGUGGAGCACUCACCUAGCAUGUGUGAGGCACUGGGUUCGAUCCUCAGCACCACAU
rfam:Ictidomys tridecemlineatus contig082629, whole genome shotgun sequence.